rnacentral:rRNA from 1 species
CGAAAGGGAGAUUAAUACCGCAUAAGAUUGUAGCUUCGCAUGAAGUAGCAAUUAAAGGAGUAAUCCGAUAUGAGAUGGGCCCGCGGCGCAUUAGCUAGUUGGUGAGGAAACGGCUCACCAAGGCGACGAUGCGUAGCCGACCUGAGCGAGGUGAUCGGCCACAUUGGGAGUGAGACACGGCCCAGACUCCUACGGGAGGCAGCAGUGGGGAAUAUUGCAAAGGGGGGGAAACCCUGAUGCAGCAACGCCGCGUGA